GACAAACAUCACUGAAGUUCUGUAAACUGCCAUAUAACUUACAUGUGUGUCACACAAUGUAUACCAAACAUGUGCAGAAACAAAAUUAAGUGCUAUUUUAAUUAUUCACCUUUUGGGAUGUGAAAACAUAUGUAAACAUAAUUGCACAGUUUUUGCUGAAAAUGAACAAAAGACAGCCUCUACCUAAGGAUUUGUUCUUGCUAUUGGCUGGGCAGCAUGUAGUACAAUCUUCUUACCUAUUUAUAUCAGA
rnacentral:lncRNA from 1 species